AGUGAACGCUGGCGGUAGGCCUAACACAUGCAAGUCGAACGGCAGCACAGGAGAGCUUGCUCUCUGGGUGGCGAGUGGCGGACGGGUGAGGAAUACAUCGGAAUCUGCCCAGUCGUGGGGGAUAACGUAGGGAAACUUACGCUAAUACCGCAUACGACCUUCGGGUGAAAGAGGGGGAUCGCAAGACCUCUCGCGAUUGGAUGAGCCGAUGUCGGAUUAGCUAGUUGGCGGGGUAAUGGCCCACCAAGGCGACGAUCCGUAGCUGGUCUGAGAGGAUGAUCAGCAACACUGGAACUGAGACACGGUCCAGACUCCUACGGGAGGCAGCAGUGGGGAAUAUUGGACAAUGGGCGCAAGCCUGAUCCAGCCAUACCGCGUGGGUGAAGAAGGCCUUCGGGUUGUAAAGCCCUUUUGUUGGGAAAGAAAUCUUUCAGGCUAAUACCCUGGGAGGAUGACGGUACCCAAAGAAUAAGCACCGGCUAACUUCGUG
rnacentral:rRNA from 1 species